rnacentral:rRNA from 1 species
GGAAUUGACGGGGCCCGCACAAGCGGAGGAGCAUGUGGUUUAAUUCGAUGAUACGCGAGGAACCUUACCUGGGCUCGAACGUAAGAUGACUGUAGGUGAAAGCUUACAUCUCUUCGGAGCAUUUUACGAGGUGCUGCAUGGUUGUCGUCAGCUCGUGCCGUGAGGUGUCGGGUUAAGUCCCAUAACGAGCGCAACCCCUACCUUUAGUUGCCAUCAGGUUAAGCUGGGGACUCUAAAGGAACUGCCUACGCAAGUAGUGAGGAAGGCGGGGAUGACGUCAAAUCAGCACGGCCCUUACGUCCAGGGCUACACACGUGCUACAAUGGCCGAUACAGAGGGCAGCUACCUGGUGACAGGAUGCAAAUCUCCAAAGUCGGUCUCAGUUCGGAUCGGAGUCUGCAACCCGACUCCGUGAAGUUGGAUUCGCUAGUAAUCGCGCAUCAGCCAUGGCGCGGUGAAUACGUUCCCGGGCCUU